GACGAACGCUGGCGGCGUGCUUAACACAUGCAAGUCGAACGGAAAGGCCCUGCUUUUGUGGGGUGCUCGAGUGGCGAACGGGUGAGUAACACGUGAGUAACCUGCCCUUGACUUUGGGAUAACUUCAGGAAACUGGGGCUAAUACCGGAUAGGAGCUCCUGCUGCAUGGGGGGGGUUGGAAAGUUUCGGCGGUUGGGGAUGGACUCGCGGCUUAUCCGCUUGUUGGUGAGGUAGUGGCUUACCAAGGCUUUGACGGGUAGCCGGCCUGAGAGGGUGAACGGCCACAUUGGGCCUGCGAUACGGCCCAGACUGCUACGGGCGGCAGCAGUCGGGAAUCUUGCACAAUGGGCGGAAGCCUGAUGCAGCAACGCCGCGUGCGGGAUGACGGCCUACGGGUUGUAAACCGAUUUCGCCUGUGACGAAGCCUGAGUGACGGUAAUGGGUAAAGAAGCACCGGCUAACUACGUG
rnacentral:rRNA from 1 species